rnacentral:rRNA from 1 species
UGUGGAUGGAACCCAAUGGGUUCCGUGGUAGGAGAGCGUUCUAAGGGCAUCGAAGCCAGAUCGUGAGGACUGGUGGAGCGCUUAGAAGUGAGAAUGCCGGUAUGAGUAGCGCAAGACGGGUGAGAAUCCCGUCCACCGAAUAACUAAGGUUUCCUGGGGAAGGCUCGUCCUCCCAGGGUUAGUCGGGACCUAAGCUGAGGCCGAUAGGCGUAGGCGAUGGACAACAGGUUGAUAUUCCUGUACCAGUUGCUUUUGUUUGAGCGAUGGAGGGACGCAGGAGGCCAAGGAAUGCACACGAUCGGAAAUGUGUGUCCAAGCAGCAAGUCUGAGAACGAGUGAAAUGCUUUUUCUCUCAAGGACAAGCUGUGAUGGGGAGCGAAAUUUAGUAGCGAAGUUCCUGAUGUCACACUGCCAAGAAAAGCUUCUAGUGAGAAAGUAACUGCCCGUACCGCAAACCGACACAGGUAGUUGAGGAGAGAAUCCUAAGGUGUGCGAGAGAACUCUCGUUAAGGAACUCGGCAAAAUGACCCCGUAACUUCGGGGGAAGGGGUGCUGACCGCAAGGUCAGCCGCAGUGAAUAGGCCCAAGCGACUGUUUAUCAAAAACACAGGUCUCUGCAAAAUCGAAAGAUGACGUAUAGGGGCUGACGCCUGCCCGGUGCUGGAAGGUUAAGAGGAGAGGUUAGCGCAAGCGAAGCUUUGAAUUGAAGCCCCAGUAAACGGCGGCCGUAACGAUAACGGUCCUAAGGUAGCGAAAUUCCUUGUCGGGUAAGUUCCGACCCGCACGAAAGGCGUAACGAUUUGGGCACUGUCUCGACGAGAGACUCGGUGAAAUUAUAGUACCAGUGAAGAUGCUGGUUACCCGCGACAGGACGGAAAGACCCCAUGGAGCUUUACUGCAGUUUGAUAUUGCGUGUUUGUAUCACAUGUACAGGAUAGGUAGGAGCCGAAGAUACCGGGACGCCAGUCUCGGAGGAGGCAACGGUGGGAUACUACCCUUGUGAUAUGACCACUCUAACCCGCUGCUCUUAGCGAGCAGGGAGACAGUGUCAGACGGGCAGUUUGACUGGGGCGGUCGCCUCCAAAAAUGUAACGGAGGCGCCCAAAGGUUCCCUCAGAAUGGUUGGAAAUCAUUCGUAGAGUGUAAAGGCAGAAGGGAGCUUGACUGCGAGACCUACAAGUCGAGCAGGGACGAAAGUCGGGCUUAGUGAUCCGGUGGUUCCGCAUGGAAGGGCCAUCGCUCAACGGAUAAAAGCUACCCUGGGGAUAACAGGCUUAUCUCCCCAAGAGUUCACAUCGACGGGGAGGUUUGGCACCUCGAUGUCGGCUCAUCGCAUCCUGGGGCUGUAGUCGGUCCCAAGGGUUGGGCUGUUCGCCCAUUAAAGCGGUACGCGAGCUGGGUUCAGAACGUCGUGAGACAGUUCGGUCCCUAUCCGUCGCGGGCGUUGGAAAUUUGAGAGGAGCUGUCCUUAGUACGAGAGGACCGGGAUGGACACACCGCUGGUGUACCAGUUGUUCUGCCAAGAGCAUCGCUGGGUAGCUAUGUGUGGACGGGAUAAACGCUGAAAGCAUCUAAGCGUGAAGCCCCCCUCAAGAUGAGAUUUCCCAUCACUUUAAGUGAGUAAGACCCCUGAGAGAUGAUCAGGUAGAUAGGUUGGGAGUGGAAGUACAGCGAUGUAUGGAGCGGACCAAUACUAAUCGGUCGAGGACUUAACCG